UGGGGAAUCUUGCGCAAUGGGCGAAAGCCUGACGCAGUCCAUGCCGCGUGAAUGAUGAAGGUCUUAGGAUUGUAAAAUUCUUUGCAGUAGGGAAGAUAAUGACGGUACCUACAGAAGAAGCACCCGGCUAACUUUCGUGC
rnacentral:rRNA from 1 species